ACGUGAAAUCCCGUCGGAAUCUGGGAGGACCAUCUCCCAACCCUAAAUACUCCCUAGUGACCGAUAGUGAACCAGUACCGUGAGGGAAAGGUGAAAAGCACCCCGUGAGGGGAGUGAAAUAGAACCUGAAACCGUGUGCCUACAACAAGUUCGAGCCCGUUAAUGGGUGAGAGCGUGCCUUUUGUAGAAUGAACCGGCGAGUUACGUUAUGAUGCGAGGUUAAGUUGAAGAGACGGAGCCGUAGGGAAACCGAGUCUGAAUAGGGCGCCUUAGUAUCAUGACGUAGACCCGAAACCAUGUGACCUACCCAUGAGCAGGUUGAAGGUGCGGUAAGACGCACUGGAGGACCGAACCAGGGCACGUUGAAAAGUGCUUGGAUGACUUGUGGGUAGCGGAGAAAUUCCAAACGAACUUGGAGAUAGCUGGUUCUCUCCGAAAUAGCUUUAGGGCUAGCGUCGACAUUAGAGAUUCUUGGAGGUAGAGCACUGUUUGGGUGAGGGGUCCAUCCCGGAUUACCAAUCUCAGAUAAACUCCGAAUGCCAAUGAAUUAUGGUCGGCAGUCAGACUGCGAGUGCUAAGAUCCGUAGUCGAAAGGGAAACAGCCCAGACCACCAGCUAAGGUCCCAAAAUAAUUGUUAAGUGGAAAAGGAUGUGGGGUUGCACAGACAACUAGGAUGUUAGCUUAGAAGCAGCUAUUCAUUCAAAGAGUGCGUAAUAGCUCACUAGUCGAGUGACCCUGCGCCGAAAAUGUACCGGGGCUAAAACAAUUUACCGAAGCUGUGGAUACCUUUAUAGGUAUGGUAGGAGAGCGUUCUAUGUGUGAUGAAGGUAUACCGUGAGGAGUGCUGGAACGCAUAGAAGUGAGAAUGCCGGUAUGAGUAGCGAAAGACAGGUGAGAAUCCUGUCCACCGUAAGACUAAGGUUUCCAGGGGAAGGCUCGUCCGCCCUGGGUUAGUCGGGACCUAAGGAGAGACCGAAAGGUGUAUCCGAUGGACAACAGGUUGAUAUUCCUGUACUAGAGUAUGUAGUGAUGGAGGGACGCAGUAGGCUAACUAAAGCAGACGAUUGGAAGAGUCUGUCUAAGCAGUGAGGUGUGAAUUGAGUCAAAUGCUUAAUUCUAUAACAUUGAGCUGUGAUGGGGAGCGAAGUUUAGUAGCGAAGUUAGUGACGUCACACUGCCAAGAAAAGCUUCUAGCGUUUAAACAUACUCUACCCGUACCGCAAACCGACACAGGUAGUCGAGGCGAGUAGCCUCAGGUGAGCGAGAGAACUCUCGUUAAGGAACUCGGCAAAAUGACCCCGUAACUUCGGGAGAAGGGGUGCUGACUUAAAGUCAGCCGCAGUGAAUAGGCCCAAGCAACUGUUUAUCAAAAACACAGCUCUCUGCUAAAUCGUAAGAUGAUGUAUAGGGGGUGACGCCUGCCCGGUGCUGGAAGGUUAAGAGGAGUGCUUAGCGUAAGCGAAGGUAUGAAUUGAAGCCCCAGUAAACGGCGGCCGUAACUAUAACGGUCCUAAGGUAGCGAAAUUCCUUGUCGGGUAAGUUCCGACCCGCACGAAAGGCGUAAUGAUUUGGGCACUGUCUCAACGAGAGACUCGGUGAAAUUUUAGUACCUGUGAAGAUGCAGGUUACCCGCGACAGGACGGAAAGACCCCAUGGAGCUUUACUGCAGUUUGAUAUUGAGUGUCUGUACCACAUGUACAGGAUAGGUAGGAGUCUAAGAGAUCGGGACGCCAGUUUCGAAGGAGACGCUGUUGGGAUACUACCCUUGUGUUAUGGCCACUCUAACCCAGAUAGGUGAUCCCUAUCGGAGACAGUGUCUGACGGGCAGUUUGACUGGGGCGGUCGCCUCCUAAAAGGUAACGGAGGCGCCCAAAGGUUCCCUCAGAAUGGUUGGAAAUCAUUCGCAGAGUGUAAAGGUAUAAGGGAGCUUGACUGCGAGAGCUACAACUCGAGCAGGGACGAAAGUCGGGCUUAGUGAUCCGGUGGUUCCGUAUGGAAGGGCCAUCGCUCAACGGAUAAAAGCUACCCUGGGGAUAACAGGCUUAUCUCCCCCAAGAGUUCACAUCGACGGGGAGGUUUGGCACCUCGAUGUCGGCUCGUCGCAUCCUGGGGCUGUAGUCGGUCCCAAGGGUUGGGCUGUUCGCCCAUUAAAGCGGCACGCGAGCUGGGUUCAGAACGUCGUGAGACAGUUCGGUCCCUAUCCGUCGCGGGCGUAGGAAAUUUGAGAGGAUCUGCUCCUAGUACGAGAGGACCAGAGUGGACUUACCGCUGGUGUACCAGUUGUCUUGCCAAAGGCAUCGCUGGGUAGCUAUGUAGGGAAGGGAUAAACGCUGAAAGCAUCUAAGUGUGAAACCCACCUCAAGAUGAGAUUUCCCAUGAUUAUAUAUCAGUAAGAGCCCUGAGAGAUGAUCAGGUAGAUAGGUUAGAAGUGGAAGUGUGGCGACACAUGUAGCGGACUAAUACUAAUAGCUCGAGGACUUAUCCAA
rnacentral:rRNA from 1 species